rnacentral:rRNA from 1 species
GAUGAACGCUGGCGGCGUGCCUAAUACAUGCAAGUCGAGCGAAGCGGGGACGGGUGAGUAACACGUGGAUAACCUCCUAUAAGACUGGGGUAACUUCGGGAAACCGUAGCUAAACCGGAUACUUAUCAAUGGAUCCGCGCUGCAGUAGCUAGUUGGUAAGGUAACGGCUUACAAAGGCAACGAUGCCUCGCGGACCUGCGAGCGGGAUCGGCCACCUUGGAUCUGUGACACGGUCCAGACUCCUACGGGAGGCAGCAGUAGGCAAUAUUCCGCAAGGGGCGAAAGCAGGACGCAGCAACGCCGCGUGGGUGAGGAAGGUCUUCGGAUCGUAAAACUCUGUUAUUAGGGAAGCGGUACCGAAUCAGAAAGCCACGGCUAACUACGUGCCAGCAGCCGCGGUAAUAC